CCUACGGGUGGCAGCAGUGAGGAAUAUUGGACAAUGGGGGAAACCCUGAUCCAGCGACGCCGCGUGAGUGAAGACGUAUUUCGGUACGUAAAGCUCUAUCAGCAGGAAAGCAAAUGACGGUACCUGACUCAGAAGCUCAGGCUAACUACGAGCCAGCAGCCGCGGUAAUACGUAGGGAGCAAGCGUUAUCCGGAUUUACUGGGUGUAAAGGGAGCGUAGUCGGCAGCACAAGUCUGGAGUGAAAUGCCGAGGCCCAACCCCGGAACUGCCGUGGAAACUGGCAAGCUGGAGUGCAGGAGAGGUAAGCGGAAUGUGUGGUGUAGCGGUGAAAUGCGUAGAUAUCAGGAGGAACACCGGUGGCGAAGGCGGCUUACUGGACUGCAACUGACGUUGAGGCUCGAAGGCGUGGGGAGCAAACAGGAUUAGAUACCCUGGUAGUC
rnacentral:rRNA from 1 species